ensembl:ribozyme
UAAAAAAUGUUUCUUGACCAGUUGCCUACAGCUGAUGAGCUCCAGUAAGAGUGAAACCACUUCUCACUCCUUUGGAACAGUUUUGAAGUGUGAAUUGGUCCUGUAGUACUGGGUCAGAAACAACUC